UCAGGAUGAACGCUAGCGGCAGGCUUAACACAUGCAAGUCGAGGGGUAGGGAAAGCUUGCUUUUCUGAGACCGGCGCACGGGUGCGUAACGCGUAUGCAAUCUACCUUUCACAAAGGGAUAGCCCAGAGAAAUUUGGAUUAAUACCUUAUAGUAUUAUAGAAUGGCAUCAUUUUGUAAUUAAAGAUUUAUCGGUGAAAGAUGAGCAUGCGUCCCAUUAGCUAGUUGGUAUGGUAACGGCAUACCAAGGCUACGAUGGGUAGGGGUCCUGAGAGGGAGAUCCCCCACACUGGUACUGAGACACGGACCAGACUCCUACGGGAGGCAGCAGUGAGGAAUAUUGGACAAUGGGCGCAAGCCUGAUCCAGCCAUGCCGCGUGCAGGAUGACGGUCCUAUGGAUUGUAAACUGCUUUUAUACAGGAAGAAACACCUCUACGUGUAGAGACUUGACGGUACUGUAAGAAUAAGGAUCGGCUAACUCCGUGCCAGCAGCCGCGGUAAUACGGAGGAUCCAAGCGUUAUCCGGAAUCAUUGGGUUUAAAGGGUCCGUAGGCGGUCAGGUAAGUCAGUGGUGAAAGCCCAUCGCUCAACGGUGGAACGGCCAUUGAUACUGUCUGACUUGAAUUAUUAGGAAGUAACUAGAAUAUGUAGUGUAGCGGUGAAAUGCUUAGAGAUUACAUGGAAUACCAAUUGCGAAGGCAGGUUACUACUAAUUGAUUGACGCUGAGGGACGAAAGCGUGGGUAGCGAACAGGAUUAGAUACCCUGGUAGUCCACGCCGUAAACGAUGGAUACUAGCUGUUGGGAGCAAUCUCAGUGGCUAAGCGAAAGUGAUAAGUAUCCCACCUGGGGAGUACGAACGCAAGUUUGAAACUCAAAGGAAUUGACGGGGGCCCGCACAAGCGGUGCAGCAUGUGGUUUAAUUCGAUGAUACGCGAGGAACCUUACCAAGGCUUAAAUGUAGAUUGACCGGUUUGGAAACAGAUCUUUCGCAAGACAAUUUACAAGGUGCUGCAUGGUUGUCGUCAGCUCGUGCCGUGAGGUGUCAGGUUAAGUCCUAUAACGAGCGCAACCCCUGUUGUUAGUUGCCAGCGAGUCAUGUCGGGAACUCUAACGAGACUGCCAGUGCAAACUGUGAGGAAGGUGGGGAUGACGUCAAAUCAUCACGGCCCUUACGCCUUGGGCUACACACGUGCUACAAUGGCCGGUACAGAGAGCAGCCACUGGGCGACCAGGAGCGAAUCUACAAAACCGGUCACAGUUCGGAUCGGAGUCUGCAACUCGACUCCGUGAAGCUGGAAUCGCUAGUAAUCGGAUAUCAGCCAUGAUCCGGUGAAUACGUUCCCGGGCCUUGUACACACCGCCCGUCAAGCCAUGGAAGCUGGGGGUGCCUGAAGUCGGUGACCGCAAGGAGCUGCCUAGGGUAAAACUGGUAACUAGGGCUAAGUCGUAACAAGGUAGCCGUACCGGAAGGUGCGGCUGG
rnacentral:rRNA from 1 species